AAUCACCCCGUUAAUUAACUAAUUACCCCCCAGGCUUUAUCGGUUUCGCCCCCACUUUAUGGCGCCUGGUUGAACGUUGGCAGCUCCGGGAUCACGACGACGAUCAGCUGUUCUACACCAAGCUGUACCUCGAUGCUUCGUUAAGGGCCGAGCUGGGUUUGGCGUUGGACCAUCGCUCCCAGAUCUUCCAGAAUCUCAAUGGGGCCAUCGACGAAGUGAAGCUCCAUUUCGAAGGGGGGCGACCGAGGGUCCGUAAUGUUCUGUAUGGGACCAGCCCCAUUGUAGUGCAUGGGAACGGCCCCACUAAGCUGCAGUUGAACUGGUUGGGGAACUACAUCCCCAAUGGAUGGAGCCCCGACGGCUGCGGGGAAUGUGAGCGAGGAGUGAGAGACGUGGACAACAGCACGGUCAGACCCAUAGAAUCUAUGGGGCGCCCCAUAGAUUC